GUGGGUAGUUUGACUGGGGCGGUCUCCUCCUAAAGAGUAACGGAGGAGCACGAAGGUUGGCUAAUCCUGGUCGGACAUCAGGAGGUUAGUGCAAUGGCAUAAGCCAGCUUGACUGCGAGCGUGACGGCGCGAGCAGGUGCGAAAGCAGGUCAUAGUGAUCCGGUGGUUCUGAAUGGAAGGGCCAUCGCUCAACGGAUAAAAGGUACUCCGGGGAUAACAGGCUGAUACCGCCCAAGAGUUCAUAUCGACGGCGGUGUUUGGCACCUCGAUGUCGGCUCAUCACAUCCUGGGGCUGAAGUAGGUCCCAAGGGUAUGGCUGUUCGCCAUUUAAAGUGGUACGCGAGCUGGGUUUAGAACGUCGUGAGACAGUUCGGUCCCUAUCUGCCGUGGGCGCUGGAGAACUGAGGGGGGCUGCUCCUAGUACGAGAGGACCGGAGUGGACGCAUCACUGGUGUUCGGGUUGUCAUGCCAAUGGCACUGCCCGGUAGCUAAAUGCGGAAGAGAUAAGUGCUGAAAGCAUCUAAGCACGAAACUUGCCCCGAGAUGAGUUCUCCCUGAGACUUAGAGUCUCCUGAAGGAACGUUGAAGACGACGACGUUGAUAGGCCGGGUGUGUAAGCGCAGCGAUGCGUUGAGCUAACCGGUACUAAUGAACCGUGAGGCUUAACCUUACAACGCCGA
rnacentral:rRNA from 1 species